rnacentral:RNase_P_RNA from 1 species
CGACCCAGAUAAUCGCUGACGAAAGUUAGAGGAAAGUCCAUGCUCGCACAGGCUGUGAUGCCUGUAGUGUUUGCGCUAGCGGAAAAAAUAACGCUAGGUAUAUAGGAGUAUAUAACGGCGGAGUGAAACCUAAGGGAAACUAUGGUCAAACUCCUGAAAGUGCCACAGUGACGUAGUUUAUUGGAAACAAUAAAGUGGAACGCGGUAAACCCCACAAGCGAGAAACCCAAAAUUGGUAGGGGAAGUUCGCGGCGAGAAACGAAUUGCCAAGAGCAUGCAUAGCAUAGAUAAAUGAUUAUCCAAGACAAAACAUGGCUUAUCGGG